AGCUGAGUGGUGCAGUGGUAACACGUCUGCAUACCGUAUCAGGCGUAGAACGAGGUUACGCAGAAAAGGUGGGUUCGACUCCCACCUCAGCUG